UACGUAGGGUGCGAGCGUUGUCCGGAAUUAUUGGGCGUAAAGAGCUUGUAGGCGGUUUGUCGCGUCUGCUGUGAAAUUUCGGGGCUCAACCCCGAACUUGCAGUGGGUACGGGCAGACUAGAGUGUGGUAGGGGAGACUGGAAUUCCUGGUGUAGCGGUGAAAUGCGCAGAUAUCAGGAGGAACACCGAUGGCGAAGGCAGGUCUCUGGGCCACUACUGACGCUGAGAAGCGAAAGCGUGGGGAGCGAACAGG
rnacentral:rRNA from 1 species